UGGGGAAUAUUGGGCAAUGGGGGAAACCCUGACCCAGCAACGCCGCGUGAGGGAAGAAGGUUUUCGGAUUGUAAACCUCUGUCCUAAGAGAAGAGGGGAAGACGGUAUCUUAGGAGGAAGCCCCGGCUAACUACGUGCCAGCAGCCGCGGUAAUACGUAGGGGGCAAGCGUUAUCCGGAAUUAUUGGGCGUAAAGAGUGCGUAGGUGGUUACCUAAGCAGGGGGUGAAAGGCACUGGCUUAACCAAUGUCAGCCCCCUGAACUGGGCUACUUGAGUGCAGGAGAGGAAAGCGGAAUUCCUAGUGUAGCGGUGAAAUGCGUAGAUAUUAGGAGGAACACCAGUGGCGAAGGCGGCUUUCUGGACUGUUACUGACACUGAGGCACGAAAGUGUGGGGAGCAAACAGGAUUAGAUACCCUGGUAGU
rnacentral:rRNA from 1 species